rnacentral:rRNA from 1 species
UACGAAGGGGGCUAGCGUUGCUCGGAAUCACUGGGCGUAAAGCGCACGUAGGCGGAUUGCUAAGUCAGGGGUGAAAUCCUGGAGCUCAACUCCAGAACUGCCUUUGAUACUGGCGCCUUUGAGUCCGGGAGAGGUGAGUGGAACUGCGAGUGUAGAGGUGAAAAUUCGUAGAUAUUGCAAAGAACACCAGUGGCGAAGGCGGCUCACUGGCCCGGUACUG